UGAUAUAAUUCAGAUCCACUUCAGGUCCUGUGAGGCAAUGCCAUCAAUCAUGGAACUGAAGCUCUUGAUAAUUUUCCUCAUGUUCUUUCCAACAUAUAUUUCAUCACAAAUUACCCUUUCUGAGGCUGGUGGUGGAGUAAAGAGACCAGGAGAGACAUUACAACUGACCUGUACGGUGACUGGGUUUUCUUUAACAAGCUACCACAUGCACUGGUUCUGUCAGCCACCAGGAAAGGGACUGGAGUGGGCUGGAGUUAUGUGGAGUGGUGGAGGCACAAACUAUAACCCUGCUCUACAAAGCCGGAUCAGCAUCACAAGAGACACCUCACAAAAUCAGGUGUCCCUGCAACUGAGUGGCCUGACGCUUGAAGACACUGCCAUGUAUUUCUGUGCAAGAGACACACAACCAUUAUAUGGUUUGGUUGAGACAGGUGCCUGGGAUGACAUUGGAGAGGCUGGUUAGCUGCUGGAAACGUGGACACGAAGCUUAUUCUUCCACAAUCCAAGGGAGAUUCACAGCCUCCAAACACAGCUCCAGCUUCUGCUUACAGAUGAAUAG